rnacentral:rRNA from 1 species
UGGGGAAUAUUGCACAAUGGGGGAAACCCUGAUGCAGCAACGCCGCGUGAGUGAUGACGGCCUUCGGGUUGUAAAGCUCUGUCUUCAGGGACGAUAAUGACGGUACCCGAGGAGGAAGCCACGGCUAACUACGUGCCAGCAGCCGCGGUAAUACGUAGGUGGCAAGCGUCGUCCGUAUUUACUGGGCGUAAAGGGAGCGUAGGCGGACUUUUAAGUGAGAUGUGAAAUACCCGGGCUCAACCUGGGUGCUGCAUUUCAAACUGGAAGUCUAGAGUGCAGGAGAGGAGAGUGGAAUUCCUAGUGUAGAGGUGAAAUGCGUAGAGAUUAGGAAGAACACCAGUGGCGAAGGCGACUCUCUGGUCUGUAACUGACGCUGAGGCUCGAAAGCGUGGGGAGCAAACAG